rnacentral:other from 1 species
UUUCCCCUGCGGUGUUCGCCAAGGCUGUAAAUUUCCUUGAACCAAUGUCGCAAGACAUGGUUGCCGACCCUAGACGCUGCUGUUGUGAUCGCCCUUCUCCGGGUGAACCUGAUGCAGCAGGAACGCAGCCCCCCUGAACCCAGGUUCAGGAUAGCGGCCUAACGGCACAGGCGGGGGAAAC